GACGAACGCUGGCGGCGUGCUUAACACAUGCAAGUCGAACGGAAAGGCCCUGCUUUUGUGGGGUGCUCGAGUUGCGAACUGGUGAGUAACACGUGAGUAACCUGCCCUUGACUUUGGGAUAACUUCAGGAAACUGGGGCUCAUACCGGAUAGGAGCUCCUGCUGCAUGGUGGGGGUUGGAAAGUUUCGGCGGUUGGGGAUGGACUCGCGUCUUAUCAGCUUGUUGGUGGGGUAGUGGCUUACCAAGGCUUUGACGGGUAGCCGGCCUGAGAGGGUGACCGGCCAAAUUGGGACUGAGAUACGGCACAGACUCCUACGGGAGGCAGCAGAGGGGAAUAGUGCACAAUGGGCGGAAGGAUGAUGCAGCAACGCCGCGUGCGGGAUGACGGCCUUCGGGUUGUAAACCGCUUUCGCCUGUGACGAAGCGUGAGUGACGGUAAUGGGUAAAGAAGCACCGGCUAACUACGUG
rnacentral:rRNA from 1 species